rnacentral:lncRNA from 1 species
GUGAGUUAGCCCUGCAGGAGGAUGAGGCAGGAGUUGAGACGCUAUAAGUGGACUAAGUGGCCAAAGCCUGUGACAUUAAGGAGUAGGAAAGGAUGCUGAGAGGAUAAUCUCAGAGAUGCAGCUCUCCAGCUGAUGAAAAUCAGAAGAGCCAGAUAAUCACUGAGAGGGAUUCCCACCUAGAAAGAAGGCAAUUGCAGGGGCUUUAAGAAAAAGGGUGCAGUAGUUGCUCCAGUUCUGCCUGUCAUUCCUGCACCACUGCCUUUCCAAGCACUGUCUCUUAAGAUGCUGGAGGAGGGGCUGAGGCCCUUUUAAUGAAGUGAAAGGAUGAGCGGGAGGCUGACCAGAACAGCAGUGGAAAGAGCAAAGACACAUGCUGAGAGCCCUGUGCAUGGGGAAACCAGAGCCGCAGCUUGUUCCAGACCCCGGAGCCUCUGAAGCACAGAUGUCUCCAGGAAAUCUUCAUGCUUCACCCCAACAGAGCUCUGGCCAGGAAAAGAAUCUCCUUGGUCUAUUUUAAGUUGUAAAAGGAAAGAAUAUGAGACUCUUCCUAAAUUCUUGAAACCGGUAUCUGGGCCUCUGGGAAUGAAGAAAGACUCUGACUGUGACUGCAUUUAGGGCUCUGGCUGCUGUACAUCUACAUCUUGACAAGUUGACAUCUUUCAAAGACCUUCAGCAAGAAGUUCCCAGCAGAAGCAGAGACUAGAAAGGUGUUCUCAGCUGAGCAGCAGCUCAUCGCGUUGGCAUUUCCUUACAGAGGAUCACAGAAUUACGAAGGUUGGAAAAGAGCACUAAGAUCAUCUAGCCCAGCUGUCAACCCAUUGCCACCAUGCCCACUAAGCCGUGUCCCUAAGUGGGUGCUCAUUGCUUCAGGUCACACAGAAUCCUACUUUUUGCCCUUUGGGGAUCACUUGCUGCCGAUUCCCAACACGGCCACGCACGAGCUCUACCAGCUUUCAACCACACCUCCUAUUUCAGAUUCAUGCAGGGAGCUUGAAGUCGAUUCCUACCCCAAGAAUAAACACCAUUAAAAUCAAACAGCCACUCGAAAUCUGUCACAUACAGGACUCUGGGACAACAGAGAAAAGUUACUUCUGAAGCCAUUCUCCCGUUAUCUCUCUUAUUGCCAGAAGAAGGAGUGG